GCGUGCCGCUUGCCUCUCUCGCUCCUCACUCUCUAUCUCAACGACUCCACCGGGCCAUCAUCGCCGGAGACUGCCACAGGUGACAACUAUUCGAUCUCCGGCUCGAUCUUUUUCUCCCUGCCUCUCUCGGUCUCCGGCUCGAUCUUCGCCUCCCCGCCUCUCUGCCGCUCAUAGCCUUGUCUCUGCCUCUCCGCUUCUCACCUUCUCGGCCUCUCCGGAAACCCUAGAUCUACCUUCAAGACUUUGUGUUGGUAGACUUUUCUGGUGACAGUCUUUGGCCUUGAAUAUGUAACAGGUAAACAGGGAUGUUGUCACUGUCAAAUCCAAGCUUCUCUCUGAAGCAGGUGCCUACUGUUGUGUCAGCUCAUCAAAUUUCUAGUACAAGGUUCAGGUUCUCUCUGAAGUAGCUACCAAUGGAGGGCUCAAGUAAGAAAAUUGGCCCGAACUGCGCUUUAGGAAGAUCCUGAUAAUGAUGGUGAGAGCUAUUAUGUGUAUGAGGAUGAAGAUGAAGGGGAAGAAGGUGAGGAGAGUUGCGGUGAUUUGGAAGCAGUGAGAGAUAGCAGCAUGCUUGAGAACAGUAUCAAUGGCAUGUCAGAUAGCAACUCUGAAGAGGAACUUGUGAAAGAUAUGCAAUGAGAAUUCAAGAUCUUCUCAAGCAGUGCUUUAUUUUAUACAUCACAUUGGUGCUAAUUUCCAGCAUGGUUUCAUGUCUCUACAAGGUUAGUCAUCCUACUUGUUUUGGUUAAGUACAUAAAUAUGUCAUUUUUCUACCAAAAUCAUGUAAAAAGGCCCGAUUAUAUAAUAAUUCUUAAUUCUUGAAAUCACUUCUAAUUUGAUAUCAGUUGGGACAAAUAUUUUAUCUUUGCAUCAAAAACUUAUUGGUGAAGGUUCACUUUGUCAUCUAUCAUCAAUCAGGUUGGAGAGUUUGCUUGAGUCCAAGUCUGGAUCUCAAGAAUUUUGUGAGGUUAUAAUCACCGAAAGACUACCUUCUGGAGUCUUUGCAGAUUUAUUUGAGCUGCAACAUUUGGUGUAGUGCGGUGGUAAAUCACAAUUCUAUUUUUAAUCUGUAUUAUUAGUGAAUGUCGAAUCUCUUUAGAGGGAGGUAAUUUCUUUUCUUAUUUAUGUGUGGUAUUAUAGGUUGCUUAGGAGAUCGAAUUAGAAGUUGAAUUCCAGAAUUUCAGAUAAACUUUUACAAAUUUUGAACUGUAUAUUCAUGAAUGAAUUC